rnacentral:rRNA from 1 species
UACGGAGGGGGCGAGCGUUAUUCGGAAUCAUUGGGCGUAAAGCGCGCGUAGGCGGCCCCGUAAGUCCGCUGUGAAAGUCAAAGGCUCAACCUUUGAAAGCCGGUGGAUACUGUGGGACUAGAGUACGGAAGAGGCGAGUGGAAUUCCUGGUGUAGCGGUGGAAUGCGCAGAUAUCAGGAGGAACACCAAUAGCGAAGGCAGCUCGCUGGGACGUUACUGACACUGAGGCGCGAAAGCGUGGGGAGCGAACAGG